UCACCUAUUUUUACUGUUUGAGUUAGGGAGUGUUCACAGGACUCGUUUUGCCAGAAGAGCUGAAAUGCUUGCAGAAAGGGAAAAGGGAAAGAGAUACAAAUUCAGAGCUGCAAAAUAGCAGCUGAACAUGAUAAUAUCCUCAGCUGGCAGAGGUGGCUGCACACUGAGCAUCUGUCUAUGGCCUAAAAUGACAGUUUUGUUUGAGGAUUUGUUUGUUGGUUUGUCAGAGUUUUGGUUUGUUUUGUUAUACUGCAGGAUCACUCCUAUCUGCUAAUACAAUUAAGAAAGAAACUUCAGAAAAAGAACCCUAAGUCCUAUGGUUUUUAAUUCCCUGUUGGGUUUGGGGAAGAAGCAGUUUGUGGCAAACAAGGAAGACAAACCUGGAUCCUUUGCUGCAUCCUUCCUCCUGUUUAAGAAGAUUUGUGAUUCUACAUCUAAAUCCAACAACUUUCCAAGUGGCCCUGCUCAUCUGAGAAAAGAACAGGAGGAUGAAACAUUCCUGCAAUUGUCUGUGAACUGAUACACUGGAAGUGGCCUGUGGGAAAUCUGCCACUCUGCUGUGGAUUUCUGGUCUCUGGGACGUGGUCUGCGAGGCUGACUGGAUUCAGGAUACAAUACCUUGUGGAGGAAGUGCUGUGAUUUUUUUGAGAAAAUCAUUCAGGCAUAAGGGCAGAGAAAAAAGUUGUAAAAGUUAAAGAAAGAUCCCUGAGGGACAUCAGCACUGCCAGGAUCUCUACAAGUUCAGUGUGUAGUCUCUUUUCUCAGCACAUUUGCUUUGGGCAAAACCAUAAUAGUAACUCAUCAGCUGAGGCAGGAGCUGUACUUUGGUUUUGAAUCCUGCUCUCUGCAGCUUGGUCAAGCAGGCUAAAAGGAAAAGAAAUGCAGCUAAAUUCUGAGGGAUCAGAUUCUAUCCACCUUUAACAUAUUAUGGCUGCUACUUCACAGUCCUACAGGGACCAGAUAAACAGAGCAAGGAGGAGACACAGAAUGUUCUCCUUAUUAUGGAGCAGCAGAAGAUGCUUUUUGCUCCAGCUGCUGGAAGACUUCUGCACAGGCACUGUGCUAUGUGCACAAAACAUCUGGAGUGACGGUGUGAUCAGGAUCCCCUGAGUUUUCCUACAAAUUAUCCUCCUGCAUUAAUAUCCAAGGAAGAAAAAUGACAGUAUGCAAAUAUUCAACUGCAAAAAUGCAAACAACAGAAUUUUGUUUUAUUGACUUUUUUUUUCAAGCUGGUCAUUAUGUGCAGGACUGUGUAGCAAACUGGUUCUCACUUCAUCCACAGCCCUUCAGGUCUAUUCCAUGAGGGCAGAGACUCCAGGAGGAAGGGUGAGAGAGGCUGUCUCACUGCUGGACUCACUGGCCUUCAGUGCUAUGUCACAUGAAGUGAAUCAAAUUGGUUCCAUGGGAAAGUUGUUUUUUUAAAGAAACCUGAAGUGCAACUUGUCUGUUAGACCACAAAUUCUUUAGGGAGAAAAAUGAGAAAAACCCUGCUUUUUCAGGGUUUAGUGUGUGGCAGGUGUUUCUGUGAAUAAAUGAGAGCCCCAUCAGACUGAGUGACUUGCAGGUUCCUCCUGCCCAGGUGUCAGCUGAGCUACAAUGUUGAGCUGGAGGCCUGUGUCCCCAUUACCCAUCCCCAGAGCCAGCUGCUCCCACACCUGUAAAAUCUGUGCAGAAAAAGUUCCCUCAUAGAUUUUAUCUCUGACUCAGAUGGGAUGAAUGACUCCUGACUUGCUGCUAUAAAGGAACGUACACCUGACAGGCACUGAGACUUUGAAUCAAGCAGGAUUUCCAAUACUGUGCAAUGGCUUUCUCCCAAAAAAAAGUUAAAGUUUGCACAGUUUGAAAAUAACUCCAGGAGAAGAUGGCAGCAGCUGAAGGAGUUUGGCUGGAAACUGUGCUCCCCCUUGAUCCAUCCGCACUGCGCAGCAGCUCUGUGUGCAACUCCCGGAUCGUUUGAAGGUGCUUGGGAUGGCUUCAGGCUUUUGGCUUUUUUAUGCAAGCAGAUUUUCAUGCUUUGAUAUGUUCUCUGACAUGACUUUUGAUCCAGUGAAGGUGAUGCUGACACUUUUUUCACAGUGAAUAUUUUGUGUACAGUGCUGCUGGAGCACCACAGUUGCCUGAGUUAUUUUGGAGGAACUCUUUCAUAAAGAUGCAGCCUAAUAAAUAUGAUGAAAAGUGAGAGCUCUGAUAACUGCAGUCAGGGUGUCUGCCCUGGUCCAGACCAAGGUAUUGCAGCUUGUCAGCAUGCAGGGACCAUCAAACACAAUCCAGGAGAGUCGUGGGGGGGGGGGGGCACAGCACAGACUGGUCUGGGGCUCUGUGCAGUGAGAACAGCACUUUGGAAUAUCCAGAUUAUUCCCCCCAAAAAAAGCAGAUGAUGUUUCAAGCUGUCAGAUUGGCAAGUUUUGGGAAAAGUGAAGAAACCCUGGUGGAAAGUCUGCGCUUUGCUCUUCCUGCCAAGACAUGCCCAAGGAAAAUGAAGACCACUGAAAUAGAAACACCUAAGAGAAACUUUGAGAAAAAUCAAAAUAUUGCGCUAGCCCCUCCGGGACAUUACUAUCCUUGUCACCAACAAGAUUUGGGAAUUGCAGGUAACACCAUCAAGGUCCAAGAACUGACAAAAACAUCCUUGGUGCUGAGCUACAGUUGCUCUUUAGAGACAGGAUGGCCAGUCCUGCACAAAAACUCUAUUCCAGCCUAAAAUAAAAGAUGAAAAGUUAAGAAAAUGCCUCCUAGCCCUCAAAAUAAAAACAGGACUCAGGCUAUGGGCUGUGGAGAGGGAAGAAGAGAGGUUCCUGAAUAUGUGAAAGAAGAAGGAAAUUUUAUUUAAAGCUCUGGUGACAAUAUCUGCAUUGUUCCUCCCUCCUGAGCCAGGAGGCACAAACGAUAUUGGUAAAAUGCUGUUGGAGGUGGCCUGGUCUUCUUUGCCCUGGAAGUAUCACAGCUGUUUCAGGCACUGGUACGGGGAAUACCAUGCAGCAGGCUGAAGCUCAAACAUCUGGGAUGUGGAGGCAUACAGGUGACUUUGCUUGGCAUCAGCCCUGGCUCUGCAGGACCAGCUCUGAGCCAAGAGCCAAUCUGCCAGACAAUCCCAAAGUGUCACCUAUGAAAAUCAGAAUUCAAGGUGAAUCUUUGAAAACUGUCUAUUUCUACAUGUGGAACCUGCUUUCACAAGACACUUCAAUGCCUGCAAAACCCUACACCCUCUGUGCUUCGUAUUUUUCCAGAGUGGUCCUGUGCAGCUGCACAGCAGCCAGCCCAGGCCACAGCGAACAGCACGUGCAGUGACAGGGUCACUCUGCCCCAGAUGAAUGAUCAGAGCAGGGGACUGCCAUGUUAAAUGAGAGGCAGUAUGAGACAGGCUCCUUGUAUUGCCGAGAUCCAUUUUAGUAUUGCAUCAUACUCCACAUGGCAGCCUAAAUGAGAGCAGAGGUGGUGAUUAGAGGCACUGUGUCUGUUUGGAGAAGGCUGCAUGCGUGACUGAGCAUGAAUGGCCUGAUUAUGAGUGUCUGGAGCUCCACUCAAAGGGACUGAGCGGGCAGAGCUGAGGUAGCAAUGAUUAGCUGCCACGCAAGGUAAGUUAUUGUCCCCUGGGAUGCUAAAAUAUACUGUACUUAAUAGUUCACUGGCCACACGCAUUCCGAUGGUUGAUACUGUCGCAGCCGGAAACAUUCAUUCACGUAAUUAGUUUACUUUUCCAGUUUAAGCCAAAUGGAAAAUCCUCCUGUACGGCACUCUUAAGGUGGCUGUUGGGCCAGUGUGGAUCAGCAAAGUCCUUUUGACUUUGCAAAGUUGCCUGGGUUUCCCCAGAAGGACAUGAGGUCAUUUAAUCACCUAUCUUAUCACAAUGCCUUAUCACAGACAUUAUAGGGACGCUCUGGGAUUUUCUCUGGAUAAUCUGACUCCAAGAUUUGUGACAGCAGCCAUUGAAAUCAAUGGAAAAUGAGCCUUUGUGUGACAGGGUUGUCACCUGUCCGUGAUCUUAAUUCCAGGUGUGUGACAGGGAGGACGGGAGAUGACUCAUCCCUUGUCAAAAAUCCUCUGUGUCACAGAUUUGCAGUUAUACCUUCCUCCAGAGGAACCUCAGCUACUUACCCAUAAUAAAUGAUCUUCAGGUGACUUCCUCUCCUAUCUCUGGGAGUCAUGAAUAUUUGACUUAACAAAUUAAUCUUUUCAUUUUCUUUCAUGGGAAGACAGAUACCUUUAUAUAUGGAGCGCCUGAAACAGAGGAUAAAAAAAAGACCACAAAGUAAAGAAUUUGAUUUUCAAGUAACUCUGUUCAUUACAAGGGUUAGGCCAGACCCUCAACUGUACCAGAGCAACACCAUUUCAAUCAUCAAAUGUACUUCUCUACCUCUUUCCAUCUCACUGGUCCUCCUUUGCAAACACCAACAGUGCCAGGGCUGGGAAGGAUCCACUGGGGUCCUCAACACCUGCAUAACCACAACACCAAACUUUGCAUAAUUUACCAUUUUGUGGAGAGUCAGAAGGGCCUUACUCUUCAAGCCCUCCUUACUCAGCAGGCCCAUCAAGGCCUGCUUUCUCCUAGUGACUCUGCUUCUCCGGGGCAGCACUUGGAUUUGGGUUAGGUGCUCAGGGGCAUGGCUUUGGGGGCAGAGGACCCUGAUAUGCAGAUUUGGUGUGAAUAUCGUGCUCCGUCACCUACAUUGCAAGGGAGUGUAACAGAAGUUGGGAUGGUGCCAGCAUUUUGUGCUGUGUUAUUCUGUCUGUUUGAGUCCUUUUUGUUAAGCCUUCAGUGGAAAGGCUGGGUUCUGGAAAGGGCUGCUUGGAUGCUCAGAGUCCUCCUUGUGUGGCAUUCCAUCCUGUGAAGAGCCCGGGAAGUACAGGCAGUACUUAAAUUUCCACACACCACUUCCAGUCAUCCCCAGAGGCUGAUUCUGCUGUGAUCCACACCAGGACAUCCGUGUCUCGAGCCUUGUCCUUCUGUUUGCUCGUGUUUGCUUCUGCAUCUUUUACUCCUGACCUAUUCAACGAGUAACUGAGCCCUGCAAUUAUUUUUCCAUUCAUUUUCUCCUUUCCUGACUCGUUUAGGAAACAAAUACUUCUUGACCUCCUGUGCAUUGAGAUGCACCAUCUAGCCCAGUGUGGUGGAAAGUGGGAAUUUGCUGCCUUUGGAAAUUCUGCAAGCUGGUAGCAGUGAACAGUUGUCCCCUGGAUAUGUUGCUCCAGUUCCACUCCAGAGCUUGCUCAUGCAAGAAAGUAAUUUCUGGUCUGCAUUUGUGCAAGAAGAACAAAACAGCCUGCUCACUUUCUGUUUCCAGGCAGACUUCUCAAAGAUUAUAGGAAGAGGAUGGGCCUAGGGGCUUUCUGGCCAGGAAUGCAGCACACCAUGGGACAAACAAGCACAUUGCCACAGUCAGGUGGCUGCUGUGUCCAAAGCAGCCCAAAACUGCUGAGUGCCUCAGCCUACCUGCUUACUGAUGGCCCUCCUGCACCAAACUGCCUCAUACCUGGGUCUAACCACACAGAGCAAAUCCAAGAGGCUGCUCUCCCAAAGGGUCUUGCUGCUGUGUUGCUUUUUCUCUGUAUUUUUUAUGAAUUUUUGAGAAAACUACAGUAGUGAGAGAUUUGUGCAAACAGGAGUGUGCUGUAUGCUCCGAGUGCCUGGGAUGGAACAGCACACUCAAAGCCUCCAUGCUGAGCUGCCAGAGUGUCCUCAAAAGCAUAUCUCAUCCCCACUGGCUAUUUGGGAUUUCAAGGUUGCUCUUUUCAUCACAGGCAAACCAGCCUGCCUUUUUUCCCAGCAUUUCUGGUGCAGAACAACAUGCUCUGUUGUCCUUCUGCAGCUGAAGGGGAAGGAGUUGGGGGAGAUGGAGAGAUGGGGCUUCUGUAAUGCUCUUUUACCAUUCCCUUUUGUGUCAUGAUUUUGUUUAGUUGGAAAGGCAGGGCAGGGACGCUGGCCUUAUGUGCGGAAAAGCAGUUUUGCUAUGAGGUAACAAAAGCUGCUACCCAAAAGGAGGAUUGGAACAAGGGUGAAAGAUUGGAGUGUAUUUCCAAAAAAUGAAAGGGGACAUGUGCCAAGAGCUACAACAGAGUCCUUGCUGUCAGAGAGGUGGUCUGUCUGGAAAAGAAGUUCACUUGUGCAAAAGGAAGGGUCCCCAAAUAUUUCCCUAAAAUGACAGCACAAACCAGAAGAACCAGCCAAUGAGUUCAUCAAUCUCAACAUUUAUUUUAAAUCUUUGCAGAGAUAAGUGGUUGCACAGGGUGCAAAGCAGUGACGACUCCAGCCUGCAGUGUUUCCAGAUGGGAGGAGCAGCACUGGUGCUGGAGAGCCCUCCUGAGAGCUCCUGCCUGCUUUGCAGACCUGGGACUUCAUAGAUGUCAGCUGAGCUCCAGAUAAGCACGUGGACUUAGUGAUGCACUUCUGAAUCCAGCACAAGUUCUGAGCUAUUUAAGGCUUUUGUUCACUUGUCAUUUCUCAUUUCCUCCUUUUAAAUAAAUCUUCAUUCCUUUGUUAAGAGACUGUUUAAAUCUCUUGGCAACUAAACCAUGUACAAAAAGGAGUGAGCACACCUUGGCCAGGUUUACAUGCUGCAGGAGGUGUGGCAGUUUAGAGAUGACAAGUCAAUAGUAAAUAAAUCCUGGCUGCAUGUUUUUUUCACCUUUUUUCUCUAUAGUGAAUCCUUUGGAAAUCCGGCACAGCUGGCACUCGAGUAAGGGGCUAUUUGGCUCCCUGUUUAGCUGCUCCACCAUGAAAUGUAGUGAUAGUCAGACGAGUAAUUGCAUAAAAAUGGCACCUAGGUGCUGUAAGUAGGUGUUUUCUGUGGGCCUCCUGAGGCAUGUGUGCCGAGUUUAAGGAUCGAUUGGGUUUUUUCUCCCUCUCUCAUUCCUGUAGCUGGGAUUUGCUAAUCAUCUUGUGCUCGGAUGUCCUGCCUCUCCCACUGCAGUGCCAGCUAAUGUCUGAUUCCAGAAGCUUUGCAGUUGGCAAUGUUUUAAUAAGCAGAAAGAGCACAGCUUGAUUCUCAGGUAACAGGCUGAGCUAGCUGUGCUGGCAGUCAGAGCAAAAAACAUGGUAUUGACUUGAAGACUGAGUGAAUUUGGAAUAGAAAUUGUGGAGGAGGAAUAAAUGUGGCAUACAAGGAUGUCACUUUUACACUUUCCAGAUGAUAACUGCACUCUAAAGUGGAGAAUCUCUGACAGUGAUGUCCUCUUUCAAGCAUCCAACAUCUAUGCCCGUACUUGGUCCUCCUGCAAACCCCCUGUUUUCCCAGCUUUGUCUGACUCACACUGUGUAUUCUUCACAAAAUACACUGUCACAGGCUCUGUUUAUGAGAGUUACUCAAGCUUGUUUCCAAGUUAGAAUUCAUGUUUUAUGAGGAGGUGGAUAGAUGAGGAGGGGAGAAGUUUCCACUUGGGCAAGGGCAUUGGAAAGCACUUCUGGAGAUAAAAGUUGCAGGCAAGUAGCAAACCUCUGACUGUGUUGCAUAAAAAAGUUCCUGGAAACUCCUUUCUUGCCUCUCACUGCAACAUCUUUCAGGUCAUCCAUGAAAUCAUCAUCCGAGAGAAGUUUAUUUGAUCAUCUGCUACACCAUUGACCAGGAUAUUUAUUCCCAGGAAAUUAGUAAUCACCUGGAAUGUCAAUUGCCUGAGAUAUUUGGGAUGUCACCAUGUGGUAUCAUAGAGGGAACAGAUGCCUUCUGGAGGGCAAGGCCACAUCUGGGUGUGUGUCCUGGUUCAGAAAGGAAGGGGAACAAAGACUAGAAGUAGAUAGUGUCCUUCUGGUGGCAGGAUCAGUGCUUGAUGGAAGACCCUGUGGCAACUGAAAUAUCUAAUUUAUUUUCAGGAAAGGGUGAAAAAGGGAUUAAAAGCAAGAAAUCAGGCUUUUUGCUUUUCUGGGAGAGAGAGGCAGUUUGAUAAUAAGCUGCUUUCCUGUCGGCAGCUUGGGGUGAUGUACUUCCAAGAGCCCUGUCCCUCGGGACAACACCCUUGGCAAGUGUGGCUGACCCUCUGAAAAUCCUGUUAAGAGUGUGAAAGCGAAUGUCUGUGAGUGAAGGAUACUAAAGCCUCCUUCAGAGGGCAGGGAGCUGGCCCUGCAGGGAGAGAUGUUUCACAAACUGUCUUGCACUAGGAUUCUUCCACCCUCAGGAGAAAGAUGCUCCACUGUGUCCACCUCACCUGCUCCCAGAGGCAACUUCUCUCUUCCAGAACUCCAAAGAUGUGUCAAAACACGUGUGUCUAAAAGACAUCAAAUCAUUACUUUAUCAGCCACAUUUGGCACCAAGGAUCAAAAUCGGGCCUAUGUAAAAAUCUUAAGCAAUAUCAGGGAAAAGUCCAAAGCAUAGUGAGAGCAGUCAUUUGUCUGCUUCUAAAAAGUGUGUUUGCAGCAUGAAUGUAAUAUUCUUGGAGAACCCAAAUAUGAAAGCAACUAUAAAGAAAGCUCCAAAUAUCACACUCCACUCUUCAGAGCUUGUAUAAUAUAAACUGAAUAAAAGUUCCUCAUGGAAAAAAGGUAAAUGAGUUAUUUUU